CCAUUAGUUACAAGUUCCGCAAACACAAUGUUCCUUCAGGAGUACUGAUACAAGUUCAGCCCCCAGAGAACACAGGGAUCCAGGUGGCCUGGCAACUGAAGACCCCGUUCAUCUGACAGCAUCGGCACCAAGGGGCAAAGACAGCAGACAGCAACGGGGAUGAGAUGAACUGAAGGAAGUCUGGCCAGGCCCAGAAUACAGGAUGCGGGGAGACAGCCAGGUUAUGAGAACCGGAGUCGCGGACGCUGAUGGAAGCACUGAAGCGUGAGAAGGGAGGCCAGGCCUCUGAGCUCCUCAGUUCGCCUGGCUCUCCGGCUGGAAGGUCUGGAAGUGAAAGAGCAGAAGACAAAGACGAGGGCUGCCUCUGUGUCCUACGAAGACAGUGGGACCCGGGACCUGGGAAUGAGCCAAAAGGGGGGUGUCCCGGGAGGGCCGAGGAGCCCCGGCCACAGUCGGUGGGGAGCCAGACAUUUGGAGCUGGAAGCCAGGGAGCCCCAGGCAGCGGGCGAAGAGCGGGGACCAGGACACCCCCGCGCCGAGCUCACCCCAGAGAGAAAGCCACGGCGAGGCGGAGGCGGCCUGCAGGGCAGGGAGAGGCCAGCUCGUCCCAGCGCCGCCUGCGGCACCCCAGCCAAACGGAAUACCGACUCGGUUGGGUGGACGGACAGCAUUUCUGCGGUCCCGCUCUUUGUGGGCAACACGGUCAGGGCGCAGGGGCCGGGCCGGGAAGGCUCCGGGGCAGGUCGGGCCGCAGGGCUUCUUAAUUAGAAACAGGGACGAAGGGCGGAGCCUGCGGU